rnacentral:rRNA from 1 species
UACAGAGGGUGCAAACGUUGCUCGGAAUUACUGGGCGUAAAGCGCGUGUAGGCGGACUGGUAAGUCGGACGUGAAAUCCCUGAGCUCAACUCAGGAACUGCAUCCGAAACUAUCAGUCUGGAGUGGUGGAGAGGGAAGCAGAAUUCCUGGUGUAGAGGUGAAAUUCGUAGAUAUCAGGAGGAACACCGGUGGCGAAGGCGGCUUCCUGGACACUAACUGACGCUGAGACGCGAAAGCGUGGGGAGCAAACAGG